rnacentral:rRNA from 1 species
AUGGACGGCAUGGAGUUCUUCUUCGAGGAUUCUGGAGCUGGGCUCGUGCCGCGCUUGGACGGCGGUGACGUCCUACGAGAUUUAGUUGCCGGCGUGGACCUGCCUGGUGGCGGCACCAGUUGGAGUGCUGACGCUGACGAGGUCUUGUCUUCUUCUCUGCCGAUGGGGCUAGUCGGAGGACUGAAGGAUUAUGAAGGGCGCGAGGAUACGGGUGAAACAAUGCUCACUCGGAGGGGGCGCGGCUCGUCUGAUCUUGGCGGCGAAGGUGUGGGCGACUCCUGCGAGAUAGGCGAUACAGAAGUUGCAUCUGGCGUCGAGGAUAACGAUACAGUCGAAGAGGGCGUCGCAGUGUCAAACGCAAAUCAGUCUUGUUGGACCAAGAGGGUUAGAGUUGGGAAAGUGGCUGAUGUGAGGGAGCCUAGCUCUUCGAGGAUGACUGCCCUUGAAGCUUCUGUCCGUGCAUUUGUCGAUAAAAAAUCUAGAAAUGUUGUCAAUCCGUCUAUUGGGACUAGCUUUGAUUCUGUCGAAGAGGGCUACGAGUUUUACAAUCUGUAUUCAUGGGAGGUCGGUUUUGGUGUCCGCUAUGCAAAAAGCCGUUUGAAUGUACACCAGAAAAAGUGCAUGCAAGAGAUAGUGUGUGCCUGUGCGGGUAAGCCAUUGCAGGCCAACAGUCGGUCAACGAGGUGUGGCUGCAAUGCCAUGAUAAGACUGCUGAGGUCGGAUGAUGGUGGAUGGUAUGUAUGUGAGCACAACUCGUUCGAUGGAAAUUGCAAUAGUUGA